rnacentral:tRNA from 1 species
AGCCCUGAGGUGAAUUACACAUCAGAUUGCAAACCUGAAGAAGUAGGCUAACGCCUGCCGGGGCUU